rnacentral:rRNA from 1 species
CGACUCCAUGAAGCUGGAUUCGCUAGUAAUCGCGCAUCAGCCACGGCGCGGUGAAUACGUUCCCGGGCCUUGUACACACCGCCCGUCAAGCCAUGGAAGCCGGGAGUGCCUGAAGUGUGCAACCGCAAGGAGCGCCCUAAGGUAAAACCGGUGACUGGGGCUAAGUCGUAACAAGGUAAC